rnacentral:rRNA from 1 species
AACGAACGCUGGCGGCAUGCCUAACACAUGCAAGUCGAACGAGACCUUCGGGUCUAGUGGCGCACGGGUGCGUCACGCGUGGGAACCUGCCCUUAGGUUCGGAAUACCUCCCCGAAAGGGGUGCUAAUACCGGAUAAUGUCUUCGGCCCAAAGAUUUAUCGCCUUUGGAUGGGCCCGCGUUGGAUUAGCUAGUUGGUAGGGUAAAAGCCUACCAAGGCGACGAUCCAUAGCUGGUCUGAGAGGAUGAUCAGCAACACUGGGACUGAGACACGGCCCAGACUCCUACGGGAGGCAGCAGUGGGGAAUAUGGGACAAUGGGCGAAAGCCUGAGCCAGCAAGGCCGCGUGAGUGAUGAAGGCCUUAGGGUUGUAAAGCUCUUUUAACCGGGAUGAUAAUGACAGUACCGGGAGAAUAAGCGCCGGCUAACUCCGUG